AAUUCUCAACCCCACUAGUUUGGGGCUUGGAUUGUGGAGGUAUUUGCUGGCCUAUAAAGGUCAGCUCCUCUUAAAUGCAUUAGCGGAACCGUUUGUGAUCCGUCACACAGGUGUGAUAAUUAUCUACACCCAAGUGGAUUACUCUCUGUCUGUUCAGCUUAUAAUCGUCUGUAAUAGACAAAUUGUUUUUGAAC
rnacentral:misc_RNA from 1 species